CGAAGUGGCGCAAACUGUUUGCUAUGUUGACAAACAGCUGAGCUGAUAGGUGCCGUGGGUGGAUAGAAAUGGCGCCUAUACCUCAGUUUGCCUUGCAACGUUGCCCAUAAUAAUUUCCUGAAUGCCCAACUAAUAUUACACAGAACAGAGAGAAAGCAGUGAUUUGCAAGUCCAUCACUAUGGGCCAGCACCAGUCCGCCAAUAAGAGCGACCAGGGCGCGGUCCAACCAUGUCACAGGGUUGGGGUAUAUAAGCCCACCCUCGUAGAAUCCAAGGUGACCACCAUGUGCUAGUUCAAUGUAGACUGAGUUAGGACGUGUGGCUGAAAUAGAAAUGUCAAAUUUAUAGAUUUAAUCAGAUAUAUAAGAUGAUAUUCUUCAAUAAUUCAUUGCCAGAAUCAAAUAAAAAGUUUUUUUCUAAAUUCUUAA